UGCUGGUCUGAUGGUAGUGGGUUAUCAGAACUUAUUAACAUUAGCAUCAUCAAAGUUGGUAUAUAAUCCCCCACUGCUAAAUUUGACUGGCUUUAA
ensembl:Y_RNA Y_RNA Y RNA